rnacentral:rRNA from 1 species
CCUACGCGGUGCAGCAGUGGGGAAUUUUGCGCAAUGCUCGUAAGAGUGACGCAGCGACGCCGCGUGAAUGACGAAGGCCUUCGGGUCGUAAAGUUCUUUCGACAGGGAAGAAAAUGCAUAUAAGUAACUGUGUAUGUAUUGACGGUACCUGUAUAAGCAGCCCCGGCUAACUCGGUGCCAGCAGCCGCGGUAAUACGGAGGGGGCGAGAGUUGUUCGGAGGGACUGGGCGUAAAGAGCACGUAGGCGGUGUUGUAAGUCAUUAGUCAAAGACUAGAGCUCAACUUUAGUAAGGCUAGUGAUACUAUAAUACUAGAGUAUCAGAGAGGAUUGCAGAAUUCCUGGUGUAGCGGUGAAAUGCGUAGAUAUCAGGAGGAAUACCGUUAGCGAAGGCGGCAAUCUGGCUGGAAACUGACGCUGAGGUGCGAAAGCGUGGGUAGCAAACAGGAUUAGAUACCCCAGUAGUC